CCUACGGGAGGCAGCAGUGGGGAAUAUUGCGCAAUGGGCGCAAGCCUGACGCAGCAAUGCCGCGUGAAGGAAGAAGGCUUUCGGGUUGUAAACUUCUUUUGUCAGCGAGGAAGCCAUUGAGGGUACUUAACUAGUAAGUCACGGUUAACUACGUGCCAGCAGCCGCGGUAAUACGUAGGGAGCAAGCGUGGUACGGAUUUACUGGGUGUAAAGGGUGCGUAGGCGGCUUUGCAAGUCAGAAGUGAAAUCCAUGGGCUUAACCUAUGAACUGCAUUUGAAACUGCUGGGCUUGAGUGGUGUAGAGGGAGGUAGAAUUCCCGGUGUAGCGGUGAAAUGCGUAGAGAUCGGGAGGAAUACCGGAGGCGAAGGCGGCCUACUGGGCUCUAACUGACGCUGAGGUGCGAAAGCGUGGGUAGCAAACAGGAUUAGAUACCCCUGUAGUC
rnacentral:rRNA from 1 species